UACGUAGGGGGCGAGCGUUGUCCGGAUUCAUUGGGCGUAAAGAGCUCGUAGGCGGCUUGUCACGUCGGAUGUGAAAGCCCGAGGCUUAACCUCGGGUCUGCAUUCGAUACGGGCUAGCUAGAGUGUGGUAGGGGAGAUCGGAAUUCCUGGUGUAGCGGUGAAAUGCGCAGAUAUCAGGAGGAACACCGAUGGCGAAGGCAGGUCUCUGGGCCACUACUGACGCUGAGAAGCGAAAGCAUGGGGAGCGAACAGG
rnacentral:rRNA from 1 species